CUUAAGAGGACUCCUAAGCCAUUUUUGUUCAUGGAUAGCUUUCUGACUAUUAAUCUUUGUGAAGGAAUGGAGGUCUCUUACAUCAUUAUUUUGGUGAUGUCACUCCCACCUUUCCCAGAUUUUUAAAUGCACUCCAAAAUUUGUGAAUCAUUGUGCAAGAUAGUAAAGGAGGGAGAAGUCAAGAACCAUGUUUUAUUGAUCUUGGCUCUAGAAGGCCAUACCACAGUCUGGGGAGUCAUCAGUGCCAUCGCUGUCCAUCAAAGUCAGCUAUUCUCAUCACCAGAUCAUCUCAGAAGAGCAGGAGAGGCCCCUACAGAGCAUCUAUUUGACUCAUGUUGACCCAUUAAGAGUACAGUACAAGACUCACCAUGGGAAUGUCUGCUGGAGAUCCCACUAAAGUGGAGACCUUGGCAAACACCAUUGGAAGAAAUAAGCAACAGGGGACUCCUGUUCUGAAGCAAACUGUCUUUGGCCUAGAAAGGACAAAUGAAGGGGAGACAAGAUGGCAGGGAAGUAGGAGGACGCGCCCUUUCAACCUGUA